ACACGACUACAUUAGAUACCCCCGUAGUCCUAGCCGUAAACGAUACUCGCUAGGUGUCGGCCACGGUGCGACCGUUGUCGGUGCCGUAGGGAAGCCGUGAAGCGAGCCACCUGGGAAGUACGGCCGCAAGGCUGAAACUUAAAGGAAUUGGCGGGGGAGCACAACAACGGGUGGAGCUUGCGGUUUAAUUGGAUUCAACGCCGAAAAACUCACCAGCAGCGACUGUUACAUGAAAGUCAGGUUGAUGACCUUACUAGAUUUUCAG
rnacentral:rRNA from 1 species